rnacentral:rRNA from 1 species
ACGCUGGCGGCAUGCUUUACACAUGCAAGUCGGACGGCAGCACAGAGAAGCUUGCUUCUUGGGUGGCGAGUGGUGAACGGGUGAGUAAUAUAUCGGAACGUACCGAGUAAUGGGGGAUAACUAAUCGAAAGAUUAGCUAAUACCGCAUAUUCUCUGAGGAGGAAAGCAGGGGACCUUCGGGCCUUGCGUUAUUCGAGCGGCCGAUAUCUGAUUAGCUAGUUGGUGGGGUAAAGGCCUACCAAGGCGACGAUCAGUAGCGGGUCUGAGAGGAUGAUCCGCCACACUGGGACUGAGACACGGCCCAGACUCCUACGGGAGGCAGCAGUGGGGAAUUUUGGACAAUGGGCGCAAGCCUGAUCCAGCCAUGCCGCGUGUCUGAAGAAGGCCUUCGGGUUGUAAAGGACUUUUGUCAGGGAAGAAAAGGCUGUUGCUAAUAUCGACAGCUGAUGACGGUACCUGAAGAAUAAGCACCGGCUAACUACGUGCCAGCAGCCGCGGUAAUACGUAGGGUGCGAGCGUUAAUCGGAAUUACUGGGCAUAAAGCGAGCGCAGACGGUUACUUAAGCAGGAUGUGAAAUCCCCGGGCUCAACCUGGGAACUGCGUUCUGAACUGGGUGACUAGAGUGUGUCAGAGGGAGGUAGAAUUCCACGUGUAGCAGUGAAAUGCGUAGAGAUGUGGAGGAAUACCGAUGGCGAAGGCAGCCUCCUGGGAUAACACUGACGUUCAUGCUCGAAAGCGUGGGUAGCAAACAGGAUUAGAUACCCUGGUAGUCCACGCCCUAAACGAUGUCAAUUAGCUGUUGGGCCACUUGAUUGCUUAGUAGCGUAGCUAACGCGUGAAAUUGACCGCCUGGGGAGUACGGUCGCAAGAUUAAAACUCAAAGGAAUUGACGGGGACCCGCACAAGCG